AUUGGCCCAACCAAACACCUCCACUACUCUCGAAUCCUUUAUUAAAAAAGAAAAAAAACCACCAAAUUCCUCUAACUUUCCCUUUAUUGCAUUUCUGUCCCUUACACUUUCCCUUUCUCUCCGCUCUCUCCAUCUGCUGUCUUUUUCCUUCAGCUGACCCCAUGCCAUAGCUCUGCCUCUGCUUCUCCGACAAAAUGCCUUCUCUCCCCAAGUCCCCCCCUACUCCUCCUUCGCUUCUCCACCAAGACAAUUCCGAAGCCGAGCGCCGUCUCCGCGAGGCGGAGGAGCGCUUGCGUGAGGCCAUUGAGGAGCUCCAGCGCCGGCAGCGUAGGGCUGCACGUGGUGGUCCUUAUCCCCCCUGUGAUCACCCGCCUGAUGAAUGUUGUGUGGCUCACGCUAUUGGCAAUCUCUGCCAGAGCUUCCUUCUCUCGUACGGCGUCAGAGUCGGUGUUGGUAUCCUGCUUCGAGCUUUCAAGCUCGCUAAAGGACAGUCUUACUCCUCCCUUCUGGAUCUCAAGGUGAACUCUAUCUAUUUACGUGACAGUUUCGCAAUUUUCACUAUAAUUAUGCUUAAUUGCUGUAGUACAACAAAUAAUCGAUUGAAUUUGCUAUAAUGGGUGAAAAUUUGAAUCUCAAUUUUGAUGGCAGCAACUUGUAUCAGAGAAAGAUUUAAUAGUGAGAGAAGAAGCAUGCCGAGUUGGUUUACUGUUUGGAGGAUUUACAGGGUCCUAUCAUGCACUCAGAUGCUUAUUGAGAAAGUUGAGAAGGAAAGAGACGCCAUUUAAUGCAAUUUUAGCGGGUUCGGUUGCAGGGUUGUCUGUUUUAGCAUUAGAUGAUUCCAACCGGAGGCGUACUCUUGCUCUUUAUCUCUUGGCUAGAGUAGCUCAGUGUGCGUAUAAUUCUGCAAAGUCUAAGAACAAGUUUCACCUUUGGGGAAGCCAUUGGAGACAUGGUGACACGUUGCUCUUUGCUUUUGCAUGUGCCCAGGUUAUGUAUGCAUUUGUCAUGCGUCCCGAGAGCUUGCCAAAACCAUAUCAUGACUUUAUUCAGAAGACUGGGCCAGUUGCACUGCCUGUGUACAAGGCUGUGAGAGAUAGCUGCAGAGCUGGCCCAGUGGAUGUUGCCUCACUAUCAGCUUACUUAUCUAGCAGAGGGAAACUCAGUUCUGUGAAGUUGGAAGAGUUCCCUUCGAUUAUUCCUUGUUCUGUUAUUCAUCCAGACACAUAUUCAUGUUUAAAUCAUAAUGCUAAAGCAGCAUCAGCUACAUUCAGAAGAACUUUUCCGCUUUACUUCUCAUUGACUUUUGUACCAUAUGUUGUUCUACACCUUCAGAAGUUCACGGAUGCACCUGCUCGUACAUGUUGGCUUGCUGUUAGAGAUGCUGUUCGCUCGACAACAUUCUUAUCUGCAUUUGUUGGAAUUUUUCAGGCGGUGAUAUGUCUGCAUAGAAAAGUUGCAACAGUAGACCACAAAGUUGUUUAUUGGAUCGCGGGAGGAAUGUCAGCCCUUUCAGUGCUACUAGAGAAAAAAUCUAAACGUGCUGAACUGGCCUUGUAUGUUCUGCCACGAGCUGGAGAUUCGUUGUGGUAUAUUUUAAUUAAUCGCCACCUGCUUCCAGACAUUAAGAAUGCAGAGGUGGCUUUAUUUUGUGCAUGCAUGGGAGGAAUAAUGUACUACUUGGAAUAUGAGCCAGGCACUAUGGCUCCAUUCCUCAGGGGUCUAAUCCGUCGCUUCCUUGCCAGCAGAAUAAGCAAUCCAAGCUCUCCAUCUAAUCGGAAUGCUUCGUAUACAUAUUUGCAGACUCUUGAUGCUAUGACGUCACCAAAAUUGCAGGAGAGCAGAGAGGCUGAAGCUUCAUCGUCUCAGAAAUACAAUCUUGAAUCCAUUCCAGGGCUGUAAGUGUAUUUUGGUGGCUCAAGUAUGAUUGCCUCCUGAACUCUACCCCGCCAUUCUUUCAUAAUUCAAUUUUUAUAUCAUUUAUUAUUAGGUAGAUGACUUCUGCUUAAUACGUUAGAAUUGGCCACAUUGAGAAUAAUGUUUCAUGCUUUGAAUUAUGGCCCAUUCAAAUGUGUUAAGAGGGAUUAGGUUUUAUUUCAUCUAGAGACAGGUUUGUCUAUUCCCUUAUGAUUUUAUGCCCUAGAUGCUGAAGGGUUUUAAUUAAUGAUAGUUUUAUAAAUAAUAUUUUCCUUCUAAAUAUUUUGUAUGUGCUUUAACUCAUGGUUUAUUUUGUAAUAUGUAAAAUCGGUGAAUUUUUUCACCAUUUUUUCCUCUCUUUCUUAUUAUACCAUUAGAAAUCAUUCUUGUCCUUGUAUUUGGAUGACUUACAUUCCUAGUUCUCUGCCGUUCCUGAGUUCUGCCGAUUAUGAAAAUAAUGUUGUUGAUGAUGAUUAUAUGUUAUCAUCUUUAGUACAACAAAAAAAGUCUAGUUAUCCUCAGGCCAAGCAAAUAGCUGACAUGUAUCACCUUAUUCCCUGACCGCCCGCCCUCUCUUUUUUGCACGCAAUUCUUUUUCAAAAUUUAUUUAAUUUUAUUUAUGUCCAGUCAACUAAAUCAAUAUUAUAAAUAAAAAAAUAUAUAAAUUUGACUGCACACCCUUGGAUUCCUUUCACCAGAGAGAAAUUCUUCCCAAACUUAUUCUUUAAAUUUUGUGCGAGAAGCAGUGAACCACGCUAAUAAGUCCAUCUGCCAGAAGAUCAUAGCGGAAAAGACAACUCCAUUAUAUCAGAAUGGAUGUAAGGUUGCUGGAGGCAGGUCAAAUUGGAGAUAAAGGUUACUUGCAGCGAUUACUCAUAGAAAAUCCACUCAUCUCAAUAAUAUAGCACUAUUUUCAUCAGAAAAUCCCAUUCACGCGUCUUCCAUUGCCAGCUUAAGGAGAUCUUAAGGCUGAGACCAGAAUUGCCAAAGAAAUAAACCAAGAUGGGUUUAGUCCCCUGCAUAUGGCAGCACCCAAUGGGCACGUAGAGAUUUUCAUGGAGCUGAUGAAAAUUGAUAGCAGACUAUGCCGUUUAGAGUGAAAAGAGAAGAAGACUCCUCUUCACUGUGCAGCUAUCAAGGGGAGGGCCGACAUGGUGCUCGUGUUGUCCUAAUUGUAUUGAAGACUGCUUUGCACCAGGCAGUUAAGAGAAACCAGUUUCAAGCAGUAAAUGUAUUGUUGAAUUGUAUUAGAGAAAAGAGAAGGGGAGAUUUGUUGAGCUUGAAGGAUGAAUUAGGCAACAUUGCAGCCUGGAAAAGACAACGUCAGGUGAUAGAGUUGUUCCUUGGUUCUGGCACUAAUAACUCAGGCAUUUUGGAAGUGAAUGCCAAAAACAACAUUGGCCCUACUGCCCAGGCCCUUGAUAUGGUAUUAGUUUUCCCAGUGAGGCAGGUGACACAGAAAUCACAGAGAUCCUUCCGGGUGCUGGAGCUACGCCAACAAAAGAGAUCAGCCUCGCUGCCAUUUCCUCAUUUCAAUGUGUCAAUCAGAACUCAGCAUUCACAGGGUAUAGACUCUCCUUGUGAGGCUAGGAGUGCACUAUUAGUUAUUGCAGUUCUUGUAGCAACUGCAACAUUUCAAGUCGGAGUUAGCCCUCCAGGAUGUGUUUGGCAAGACAGUUAUACACCAGAUCAAAGUAACAGCACCAGAGCCAUCAUAAGAAAAGCACAUUAUGCAGGGGAAUCAAUUUUAGCAACAUCUGGUCCAAUUACAUUUGCACUUUUUGUGCUUUUCAACUAGAUAGGAUUAUCAUUAUCUCUUUUUAUGAUCCACAGAAUCACAAAUAGGUUCCCCUUGCAAUUUGAACUACAAAUGUGCAUAGUUGCAAUGUAUUUUACUUAUAACACUGCAUCAAUAAACAUGUCGCUACACAAAAUGAAGCUCUAUGUCGUUUGGUGACUGUAAUCUUGUCUUCACUCACACCAAUUAUAGCCAAGUCCAUAAGAUUACAUGCAAAUAAGAUAGCAGAGUUUGUAGUGGAUAGGAUUCGUCGUUUGAACAUCAAUG
rnacentral:misc_RNA from 1 species